UGGGGAAUUUUGGACAAUGGGCGAAAGCCUGAUCCAGCAAUGCCGCGUGCAGGAUGAAGGCCUUCGGGUUGUAAACUGCUUUUGUACGGAACGAAAAAGCUCCUUCUAAUACAGGGGCCAUGGCACGGUGACCGUAAGAAUAAGCACCGGCUAACUACGUGCCAGCAGCCGCGGUAAUACGUAGGGUGCGAGCGUUAAUCGGAAUUACUGGGCGUAAAGCGUGCGCAGGCGGUUAUGUAAGACAGAUGUGAAAUCCCGGC
rnacentral:rRNA from 1 species